rnacentral:rRNA from 1 species
CCUACGGGGGGCAGCAGUAGGGAAUUUUCGGCAAUGGGGGGAACCCUGACCGAGCAACGCCGCGUGAAGGAAGAAGGAAUUCGUUCUGUAAACUUCUGUUAUAAAGGAAGAAAGACGGAUGGAGGAAAUGACAUCCGAGUGACGGUACUUUAUGAGAAAGCCACGGCUAACUACGUGCCAGCAGCCGCGGUAAUACGUAGGUGGCAAGCGUUAUCCGGAAUUAUUGGGCGUAAAGAGGGAGCAGGCGGCAGCAAAGGUCUGUGGUGAAAGACUGAAGCUUAACUUCAGUAAGCCAUAGAAACCGGGCAGCUAGAGUGCAGGAGAGGAUCGUGGAAUUCCAUGUGUAGCGGUGAAAUGCGUAGAUAUAUGGAGGAACACCAGUGGCGAAGGCGACGAUCUGGCCUGCAACUGACGCUCAGUCCCGAAAGCGUGGGGAGC